GACGAACGCUGGCGGCGUGCUUAACACAUGCAAGUCGAACGAUGAACUUGGAGCUUGCUCUGGGGGAUUAGUGGCGAACGGGUGAGUAACACGUGAGUAACCUGCCCUGGACUCUGGGAUAACUUCGAGAAAUCGGAGCUAAUACCGGACAGGACCUUGCACCGAAUGGUGUGGGGUGGAAAGUUUUUCGGUUUGGGAUGGACUCGCGGCCUAUCAGCUUGUUGGUGAGGUAAUGGCUCACCAAGGCGUCGACGGGUAGCCGGCCUGAGAGGGUGACCGGCCACACUGGGACUGAGACACGGCCCAGACUCCUACGGGAGGCAGCAGUGGGGAAUAUUGCACAAUGGGCGGAAGCCUGAUGCAGCAACGCCGCGUGAGGGAUGACGGCCUUCGGGUUGUAAACCUCUUUUAGCAAGGAAGAAGCGAAAGUGACGGUACUUGCAGAAAAAGCGCCGGCUAACUGCGUGCCAGCCGCCGCCGUAAUAC
rnacentral:rRNA from 1 species